rnacentral:rRNA from 1 species
GAUGAACGCUGGCGGCGUGCCUAAUACAUGCAAGUCGAGCGAACGGACGAGAAGCUUGCUUCUCUGAUGUUAGCGGCGGGCGGGUGAGUAACACGUGGAUACCCUACCUAUAACACUGGGAUAACUUCGGGAAACCGGAGCUAAUACCGGCUGAUAUUUUGAACCGCAUGGUUCAAAAGUGAAAGACGGUCUUGCUGUCACUUAUAGAUGGAUCCGCGCUGCAUUAGCUAGUUGGUAAGGUAACGGCUUACCAAGGCAACGAUGCAUAGCCGACCUGAGAGGGUGAUCGGCCACACUGGAACUGAGACACGGUCCAGACUCCUACGGGAGGCAGCAGUAGGGAAUCUUCCGCAAUGGGCGAAAGCCUGACGGAGCAACGCCGCGUGAGUGAUGAAGGUCUUCGGAUCGUAAAACUCUGUUAUUAGGGAAGAACAUAUGUGUAAGUAACUGUGCACAUCUUGACGGUACCUAAUCAGAAAGCCACGGCUAACUACGUG